AUUGAACGCUGGCGGCAGGCCUAACACAUGCAAGUCGAGCGGAUGAAGGGAGCUUGCUCCUGGAUUCAGCGGCGGACGGGUGUGUAAUGCCUAGGAAUCUGCCUGGUCGUGGGGGAUAACGUCCGGAAAUGGGCGCUAAUACCGCAUACGUCCUGAGGGAGAAAGUGGGGGAUCUUCGGACCUCACGCUAUCAGAUGAGCCUAGGUCGGAUUAGCUAGUUGGUGGGGUAAAGGCCUACCAAGGCGACGAUCCGUAACUGGUCUGAGAGGAUGAUCAGUCACACUGGAACUGAGAGACGGUACAGACUCCGACAGGAGGCAGCAGUGGGGAAGAGUGGAAAAUGGGCGAAAGCCUGAUCCAGCCAUGCCGCGUGUGUGAAGAAGGUCUUCGGAUGGGAAAGCACUUUAAGUUGGGAAGAAGGGCAGUAGGUGAAUAGCUGGCUGUUUUGACGUUACCAGCAGAAGAAGCACCGGCUAACUACGUG
rnacentral:rRNA from 1 species